UGGUGGGUAGUUUGACUGGGGCGGUCUCCUCCCAAAGAGUAACGGAGGAGCACGAAGGUUGGCUAAUCCUGGUCGGACAUCAGGAGGUUAGUGCAAUGGCAUAAGCCAGCUUGACUGCGAGCGUGACGGCGCGAGCAGGUGCGAAAGCAGGUCAUAGUGAUCCGGUGGUUCUGAAUGGAAGGGCCAUCGCUCAACGGAUAAAAGGUACUCCGGGGAUAACAGGCUGAUACCGCCCAAGAGUUCAUAUCGACGGCGGUGUUUGGCACCUCGAUGUCGGCUCAUCACAUCCUGGGGCUGAAGUAGGUCCCAAGGGUAUGGCUGUUCGCCAUUUAAAGUGGUACGCGAGCUGGGUUUAGAACGUCGUGAGACAGUUCGGUCCCUAUCUGCCGUGGGCGCUGGAGAAUUGAGGGGGGCUGCUCCUAGUACGAGAGGACCGGAGUGGACGCAUCACUGGUGUUCGGGUUGUCAUGCCAAU
rnacentral:rRNA from 1 species